UUAGCUAACUAGAAAGUAAAGUAGAGUGCUUUUGAUCUUUAAUCAGGAGUAAAUCAAGGUGAUACAAGAGAUCAACCAAGUUUUACUUAAAAGCUAACGGUGAUUAUAAGGUGAGACAAGUGGAGCCCGAAAAGAUCCAGGGAAGGGUAUAGCUUAGCACUAGCGGUGUUGCUCGUUGGAUGGUGAUCUAAGAUGACUGAAAGAAAUGUUG